GAGAGCCACACAUGAGGCCUCGGCCCGCGAUGAAUGGAGCUUCACGGUCGGGCCGCUGCGGUCUGAGCGAGCGAGAGAGCGAGGGAGAAGGGAGUCGAAAACGACGGCAAUAAGUGGGGAGAGCAACACGAAAAUAUUUAACGGGCGUGUUUGUUUGGAGAGGAUCUUGGCAGGGAGCACUGCGAGUAUUACUCAGUGAACCCGGCUCAGCACGGGAAGAGAACCGGUGAGUGUCCGUCCGUCCGACUACGGGUGUGUGUUCAUGAGUCAACGUUGAGUGUCCACGCUGCCGGGCUGCUGCGGCUGUCCUGGAGUCAGCGAUGGAGCAGAAGCAUCUAAAAAAGACGAGGAAGAGAAGUGAGGACAACGGCAGAUGUCGACCGCCGCUGGUUCACGAGAGGGCAUGGGCGAACAAGAGACGGGUGCUUGUCCCCGAUUUCCAUUCCCUUCUUAGUGCUUCCUCAUUGAGAGAGAGAGAGAGAGACUCCCGCUUGACGGAGAGUCACUCUAUCAUCUCACCCUCAGACUUCUAUCUCACAUGUCUAUCUGCCGCGCCUUCCCCUCUGCACUCGGACAGCAAUAUAUAUGAUAAGAAUAUGCUAAUUAUAGCAAAGUGGACUAUAGUGGCCAAGGACGUCGGCCAUAAUAAACAGUUAUCAGCAUGACAUGGUUUCAUGUAUAGUGUUAGACUGAUGAAAUACUUGGCGGCGUCGUUUGACUGAGGAGAUAGUGGCUCCUAGGAAAGAAAAACUCAUGUGAGAGUGUGUGUGUGUGAUGACAUCCAUAUUCCCCUCUUUGUGUUUUUAUUUCUUUAUAGCUCCUCUUGUAUGUCAAUAAAAAUGAACCUUUCCC
ensembl:lncRNA